AAGACAAUCAAGGUAUCCGAAAUUUAAUUAUAAUGUUCUGUUCAAAGUCUCUCUCUCUCUGAGAAGCUUCAUCCACAGACUAAUUGCUUUAGUUUUUAACUACCACGAUUAUGACCAUUCGUAUAGUAAUAUCUACACACUACACCUAUAUAUAAAGAAGAUACCCAAGAAUUGUUUCAAAUUGAAGGUAAGAAAUGGGUGUCAUAUCAUACUUGGUCACGUUGAUUUUGAUCCACGGAUUGGUACUAUCACAGUUUAGUUACAAGGCCAACAUCGUUCAAGCUGCUUCUGUGUUACCCAACGAUUUUAAUUAUAAAUUGAAGGUAGUAUCUCAUGGGUUCUGAUCUUCGGGACAUGUUAUCUACAUUUUCCGAGUCCAUCGCGGCAGAGGGGGCCGUUUUCAAAAACCAGGCUGUUAAACACAUUCAAUUAUUGAAAGACUACGCUUUGAUGAUGCUGUUGAGUCCUUGACCACCCUAUUCUAAUUGAGCUGCAUAAAGGUUGAAGUUCCUUCUUCUUUAUGUUAGGGACCAAAUUCAUAAUUUACCCCAAAAAUUUUUUUUCUAUAGCCACCGCUUUGACUUUAAUAGUUAAAUCCAUAUUCAUACACGUUUCUCUCUCUCUCUCUCUCUCUCUCUCUCUCUCUGUCUAUCUAGGAAGCUUCAUCCAUGGACUAAAAUAUUUAGAACCAAAUUAACACGUUUCAGCAUAUCAAUGGUCUCAAAGACCAUCCAUCUAGCAUCUACAAGUAUAAAAGCAUACCCAAACACCGUUACACAAUAUAGGCAGUAAGAAUGAGAGUGAUAUCAUGUUUGCUCGCUUUGGUUUUGAUCCAUGGACUACUACUAUCACACUUUAGUUACAUGGGCGAUGCCUCUCAUGAUUUUUCUCAUGAACUUAAGGUCGUAUCCCAUAAGGUUAGUGCUUCUCCACCCCCACCACGUCGAGCCAAUCCGGGUCCUCAUCCACAUCCUAAACCGAAGUCGCCGCCGCCGCCACCGCCACCGCCACCACCGCCGCCGCCGCCGCCACCAUCACCACCACCAAAAGCUCCAUCCUCCAACGGCUAGUUUCAGUGUUGCCAGAGUUAUUUCAAAAUUCCUCAACAACACAACGAAUAUUGUCAUCAUCAACACCACCACGGUCUCGACAACCAUUCCACCAUCAGAUUCAUCAUGGUCUUGAUCAAUAUGAUUGUUGUGUGCUUACUACCUUUACUUGAUUAUAAGGGAUAUGGCUAAAAUCCCAAGUUUCUUUGCUGCUUACUACCUUUACUUGAUUAUAAGGGAUAUGGCUAAAAUCCCAAGUUUCUUUGCUUACUCUCCAUGCCAUGAAUCUAUAAUACUAUAAGUUCUCUGUUUC